UACGUAGGGUGCGAGCGUUAAUCGGAAUUACUGGGCGUAAAGCGAGCGCAGACGGUUACUUAAGCAGGAUGUGAAAUCCCCGGGCUCAACCUGGGAACUGCGUUCUGAACUGAGUGACUAGAGUGUGUCAGAGGGAGGUAGAAUUCCACGUGUAGCAGUGAAAUGCGUAGAGAUGUGGAGGAAUACCGAUGGCGAAGGCAGCCUCCUGGGAUAACACUGACGUUCAUGCUCGAAAGCGUGGGUAGCAAACAGG
rnacentral:rRNA from 1 species